rnacentral:rRNA from 1 species
AUUGAACGCUGGCGGCAUGCCUUACACAUGCAAGUCGAACGGUAACGCGGGGCAACCUGGCGACGAGUGGCGAACGGGUGAGUAAUGCAUCGGAACGUGCCCAGAAGUGGGGGAUAGCCCGGCGAAAGCCGGAUUAAUACGGCAUACGACCUACGGGGGAACGGGGGGGAGCGCAAGACCUCUCGCUAUUGGAGCGGCCGAAGUCAGAUUAGCUAGUUGGUGGGGUAAAAGCCUACAAAGGCGACGAUCUGUAGCUGGUCUGAGAGGACGACCAGCCACACUGGGACUGAGACACGGCCCAGACUCCUACGGGAGGCAGCAGUGGGGAAUUUUGGACAAUGGGCGAAAGCCUGAUCCAGCCAUGCCGCGUGCGGGAAGAAGGCCUUCGGGUUGUAAACCGCUUUGGUCAGGGAAGAAAUCUUCUGAGUUAAUACCUCGGGAGGAUGACGGUACCUGAAGAAUAAGCACCGGCUAACUACGUGCCAGCCGCCGCCGUAA